GUAAUUUGUUUAUUUCAAGUCAGAUAUUUGUAGUGAAAUUGCUCUUUCCUAGAAACUUCAAAUCUUAAAAUUUGCUAAGAAUACCCUCAUUCUCUUAUAUGAUGGUAGAACACUUGCAAAAUGAGUCUACAACAACCUGCUUUGUUUCAAUAAGAUAACCUAUUCUCUGGAGCAGCUCUGCAGCUUUGUGAGACCAGCCACCAGCAGCUUCAUCCAGAAGAGAUGUCUCAGUCUCUUCUUUCACACAGGAGGAACUGACACAGCGGUGAGAAGGGGGCACAGAGGAAGUCAUGCCAGUUACACUGGUUACCACAACCCCCUUCUCUUUGUGACCCAUCUAACCCUUCCUCAUUAAGAUAUCCCCCUUCAGCCAGGAUCAGUUUAAGAGCACAGGCUUUGCACGCCCGUCCCAACUUUCCAUCCUCAAGCAGCAUAAAGUCACACCAGUUUUUUUGAUACAUUGCAGUAAGGUUUUCAGAGGCAACAUUCUUGGCAAAAAGACUGGUUCUUUGACUCAGUCUAAGCCACCUGUUACUCCAGUUACUACCCUGAUAUAACCAUUCAUCUCUCCAAAUGGAAGACAGGAAGCUCCUAGUUCUCAUCCUGAUAUUUUCAGGAUGUGUUUACCAGCUCACAUCAAAACUCACAGAAAGCCUUCUACCUUGCUGAUAGCUAUAUCCUGCAAGUUUAAAAGCAGUAUAAAUAGAGUAUAGGCUGCUUUUGGGGUGACAGAUGGAGAGCAAAAUCAGGCUUGUAAUGAAAGCCAGCAUGCUUUUCAUUAAGCACUGCUUCUCUGUAAUCCAAACCACCUAAGUCAAGGAAACACAGCUAAUAAUGCAGUGAUAAGAACCACGCCAACACUGUUAGAGCAAAGUCAAUACAAUUAUUUUUUAACCUGCCCUUCUAGAGAUUUUCUUUAGCAGAAAAGUCCCUGUGCCUCAGUGCUGUAUGUAUUCUAGCAACAACAAAUUAUUUCUGUGCUGAUAAGGGAUGUGUAAAAUCCACAGCUGAUUACCAAAGACAAACAUGUGCUUAGCAGUUUUCAGAAGUCUGUUAGCUUGGGGCACAUCAGGCUGGGGUUCCAAUGGAAAUUCAUGUUGUGCUGGAGCAAGAAUCACGUUUCUUACUCAGAUGUGAGGAACAGGGAGGAGAAGUGCAGCUCCAGCAGGGCACAGGUGGCAGAUUAGAGCACAUCCCUCACAUUAAGGAACCUUACGCAGUAUCUGCACAGCGUAUGGUGCAUUUUUGAAGAUCACUCCACAAGCUGCAGCAUAAUAACUGAGGAAACUGCCAUUACUCAGUGGAAACUGGCCCAGGAAGAUCAUGAUGCAGCUGCUUCGAUUCGUUCCACCUAGAAAUGGUUCCCAGUGCUUAAGAUACAUACUCCAAAAAACCCCAAGCAAUUAACUGGACUUGAAAACCCCAUUAACGAUAGAAAUGUUUCAAUCCACAUGCUCUUUACCAAGCUCCUGCAUUGCUACCUACCGGUAAGUUUGGACUCACUGUACUUCCCUGUUUUUCAAAGCAACAGAGGUUCCCUAUGCUCAAAAUCCUUGAGACAGCACCUUACGAGUAAGGUGAGGAACCUAAUGAGUAAGGCACAAACUAUCCUGUGUUUUCAAAUUACCACUGCACUCAAGGUGAGGUGAUUUUGCUUGCAAGAGUUAAUUAUGAAAAGGGAAAUCAUGCACUGAAGCCUCCACUUUCCAGUAUGUCACAGUAGCAGACGUGGUGGUUACACAGUUUUUAUUUCACCCUUUCAGCAAACUAGCCAGAAGGGAAACAAAGUGUUAUGGUGGCUCAGGCAGCAAGCAGCAACACUAUUACUGCUGCAGCCAUGUGCUAGCAUCCAAGUUCCCUGGAGAAAGGAGUUAACUGAUGAAACAAAGCAGGUGAUGAUGGCAUGUCAGUUUCCAUUCAAUCUGCAGAUGAUAGCAGUAGAAAAAAUGCAAUUUCAGAUAGAUCUGUCAGUAAGAUUUAUGUGCAUCAAUAAAAGAUGAGGGGAAAUUUGUCAGCCAAAUCAUUAAGUUCAGCGCUGACCUUAGGACAGCCACAAGUUUGAUCCCUACAAAUCUACCUUUGUUGCCACAAUUUGAUUCACUUGUCUACAAGGGGUGGUUUUCAAGCAGUGCUUUCAGGGUGUCCCAGCAGUUUGACAGCCAGUUUCUCAGUUUUGACUCCGUAUCAUGAGACUGAAAUCACACAAUACCUAAACAACAACGCACGUCUAAAGCAACCCACCAGAAAGUGUACUAAAUCAAAACGACUGCUCUGAUUGCUGCUACCUCAAACGAAGAACAGACAACAGGCUCCUUCCUUAUUAACUAUCUUGUCUAAAACAGCUCUCCAAGAUCCCUUGCUUAAAAAGCCUGACAGUUUUGAAUGCAUGGCUUCAAGUGAGAACUACAGGAUUUGUUGAUGUAUGGGAACUGCUGAAUCACGGCCUGAACCUCUGAUUGACCACCUGAGGCAAGCACUGAGUCAGCCAUGGGAGCACAGGUGAAGGCAAUUCAGCUGUGCUGCUGGAAGGGGUGGAGCCUGGCUGCACCUCUCCUAGACCCAUUUAAGAGCUGGCUGCCAGGUAGGAAGGAUCUCUGCUGGAGAUCCCUCCUUCAGAGUCUCAUAGUGAGCCCAGGAUCAGCCAGUCGCAGUGCCUGCUGCUAACAGGAUUGUACCCUGUAUUGCUCCACGAGUCACAGGCAAGAGACUUGCUCAAAGCCUAAAAAAAAAACAACCAGAGACUAUCUGAAAGAACAGUCUACCUGAACUUUGUACUUCUGGUAAAUGAACAACAUCUGCACUUGCGUGACAUUGCAAUAUUACACAGGGAAAAUGUCCUGAACUACGAAAUUGCCUGAUUUUGGAGUAGCGUGUUCUCUGCCUCUAAGAUGCACGAGAUGUGAAGUCCAAUGACUCCUGCUUGCUGAAAGAAAGGAUGAAGCAGGCUGCACUGCUUUCACACAGCUUGUACUGCUUCUCUUCCAACACAUCCAGAGUGAAGGAGGACAACAGAAGGCAGACUGACCACAGCAGCUUACUACAGGAGGCGAGCUGCAAAGUGAGAAACUGGACCUACCCAUCUGUAGCAGGAGUCUGCAUCUCUCCAGGCAUUCUCAAAGAUUCUUCUUCCUCCUCUGCAAGGGGCAUUUGUUCUCCAUAGCCCUGAGCUGUAUCCCUGCACUCCAAGGGUUACUAAGCACUGAUUCUCACCACUUGCAUCUAUCCUGGCCUCUGUCGUCAUUCUGCCACCUGCAUAAACCACGACUGCCCAAAGAACACCAGGAUGAGAAGGUUACAAGUCAAGGCAGCUGUGGCAACCUGGACAAACACCACGUCAAAGCUGCUUCCUAAAUACCCACAUCUUCCAGACUGAAACAGGACCAUUUCAGACUGCCUGCACAGUCACUUUAUUUUACAGAGGAACACUACAACCCUUCAGCAGGAAACUUAUGACCAGCAAUAGAGUUAUUCAGUUAAAUUAAGACAGAGAAAGCUUUCAAGUCUACAGAGUUGUUUUAUUUAUAACUCAGCUGAGAGGCUCAUUUCUUCCAGAAAGUGAGAUGCACAGAAUCAGGAGACCGGCAUUUAAAAAAAGACAAACAGAACAUACAGGACUUAUCGUAUCCAUGUGUUAUGUGCUCUGAAACAAAGAGUCUCUUGAAAAUAUUAAGAGGUGACUAAAUGAGGAGUAGAAAAGUCAGCUACUUAGGGUAUGAGGAAGUGAGAAAACAUUAUAUAUGCCAUACCUUUCCUACUGGGGCAGAAAGGCUGGAUUAUCAAGUCGACUGAACAGGAAGCUUGGAUGGCAACACUCCUGACAGAAGUAAUGAUGCUCUCACUCACGUAAUCGUACCUCAAGGGAUUGCCAAUCAGCUACAGCUGACCUGACAAUCACUAGAUGCUACAGGUUUGUGGACCCUGCCAUCAGCAAACCUAGAGAUCUUGCACGGCAUGCCCUGCAUGCUCCUGGGGUAACUGAGCCAAGCAAAACUGCACGAAGACCGCAGCAAGAACAGCUCCAGCAAUUGGUUAUCAGCAAGCAGUUCUGCAGCCUAAAGGCACACAAUAGGCUGAUCUUGCUUCAGUAACACCUUAGUAUCUCCAGGUGUCUCUCUUCUUGCAACAGAGCACAUGAGCACAACUACAAUAAUCCGAACCAAAGCUACAGCAGCAGCCCUGGUUGUGUCCAUCAGAAAGUGACCUUUUAAAACAGCAUCCACUGCAUUUUCUGCAAGAUGAGUUCAGUGCUGCCUGACAGCACAGUGUUGCAAAUGAGAAGACUUCAGCUGCUCCCACAGAUGCCUCAGCUGGUUCAGAGCAGGAUGCUCGCUUGCUAACAUUAUGCACCCACACACACUGAGUGCCAUGAAUGUACUCUGAGGCCAUUCAGCAGGUGGGAGGGAGAGAACUGGAAGGCCACAAAGGCUGGUAAAGCCUGGAGCAAAACCACAGCUUGGAGAUGAGCAUGGCAAUGAAUUUGCAUGUCGGUUCUGGUCAUCUCCUCAAUGCAGAUCAAAAGGACAGAAUAAUUCAAAGGAACCUUCAAAAGAACUGAACCUUUUCACAAGAAAUUCAUUGCUAACCGGAGGCUGGGAGAGGACAGGGAAAGAAGGGAUACAAAUAAUGUGCAGUAUUCUAGAUCCAACAGGAAACAUCACCAUUUUCAUCAACCAUGCUAGGUAAGAAUAACACAGAGGAAUGCACAACAAACUUGAGGCAAAAUGAUUUCUACACAAAAUCCUUUGCAUCUCCCACACCCCUUUUGUUUCCUUUUCCCUUUUCUUUCAGCUACAACAAAACUACGUACAAGAGAAUCCCUUAGCAAUCUUCUGCAUGCUAUGCAAGGAUCUUUCAUAGCAGCAGUUUUGCAGAAUGUUGAAAAGCUUCAGUUCUGUUUGCCUAUCAUCCAGUACAAUAUUCCUCUCUUACUUCAAAUGCACAUCCGUUCAGAAAUGCCAUCUGUUCAGAGUCAGUUUAUUCUAUCCACAGUCCAUUUAUUCUGCUGUACUUUCAAAAGGGAGCGUGUAGAACAAAUGAGAGAGGCAGGAUAUGGAGACAGCAUUUCAGCAGUGUAGGAUGUGUCUGAACAAACUACAGAAGGUAAAAGAUCCCAAAGGUUUUAAUCAUGGAUUUGUCAGAAAGGCAGGGGCAGCUGAUACAGACAAGGGGUCAUAAACGCAGGAACUGACAGCAGAUAUCCAGAACUGAGCACACACUGUUGUUACACCUCCUACCCACUCCAAAAUCAACACCACCCCUACCAGGCUGCCAGUGAAUUUCAAACAUGUAGCUGAGUAGGACACAAGUCACACCCAGUGUUCAGGUGUUGGCUGAAAAACAGAGGGGAAAAAAAAUAGUUUUGCCUUUAAAGUCUCACUAUGUUCUUCUUGCAUCAUGCACAGCACAGCUCUCCAAAAAUAGAGACUGCUGCUCAGUUUGCCUCAAAAUCAUUCGCUGGAGUGCCAACCACCCCUUUUUGGUCUUCACUAUUGCACUAGAAAUGAGCUUAUGCAGAAAGCCCAGAGCAAAAAUCUGAUGCCAGUGAAAUCAACGAUUCUACCCCAACCCUCUUUGUCAAGGACUGAGUUCAUUUGCUGUAGCUCCAACACAAGAUCUGUAACUCAGCCUAAAUAUUUCAGUUUCUUUUGGCACAAAUGUUGGAAACGACAACUUGGAAAUGAAGCCCUGGACCUUGAAGGGUCUUUAAUUCAGAGAACAAGAAAUGUUAGGAAUUCAAAUUCAAGCAGGAUCCUUCCAGCACGUGGACUGCUAGGUAUUGGUGCUAUUACUGAGCAGUUGCAGGUGUGCAGAGGCUCUAAAAUGCAAAAGAGCUGCCUCAUUACCUACAAGCAUAUACAGGAGUAGAAACUGCUCCAGAAUAACAAAAAUCAGUUCCUGCACUCAGAGCUUGGAACAGUGGACUUGACAAGAGAGGGCCGAUGAGAAAAUACUUCAGGAGUAAAACUGGGCAGGAAUGACAGGACUUACAGAUGCGUGAUUACAGUGUUAGUCAUUUCCAACGAACCUUGAAACUGAGGUUUGGGAUUCCUCUGAGAUGAUAUCUAGCUCCAUUCAGUUCUGCAGACAGUGUCACAGAAGUGAUUUUUGGAACAGUUCGCAUGAGGCAACACUGGGAGUGUGACUAACGUUUCAGAAGUACUCCUACAGCAGGGACAUUUGGGAGAGUUUGCCAGAGACAAAAUGAGCAUCGGGCCACCACCGUGGGUAGACAGGAAAAGAAUACACCCAUCUUAGUCAAUAUUGUAGUCACAGAAAAACAAGGUAACAUUUACUCAGCACCAAAGGGCAGUUUUAGAAAGAGCAAAAAUGAACCCUUCAGACCUGCUUUUAGAGUUCAGGAUUAGGAAGACAUUUUAGCUUUGAUAAAAAGCAUGUCAUUUUUUCCUUUUCCUUCACGAUCACAGCUCACCAAGGUUGGAAAAAAGACCUCCAAGAUCAUUCAGUCCAACCACCCACCUACCACCAGUAUUUCCCCGCUAAACCACGUCCCUCAGUACAACCUCUAAAUGUUUCUGGAACACCCCCAGGGAUGGUGACCCCACCACCCCCCUGGGCACUCUGUGCCUCACCACUCUUUCAGUGGAGCAAAUGUUUCCUAACAUCCAGCCUGAACCUCCCCUGGCACAACUUGCUCACACUCAAACUGCUUCAGAUGUUCACUUCACAUCAAGGAUGAGGGUCUGCAUUGCUAUUCUGAGGUUAACUCAAUCACUGCAGUUUCCUCAGAGGCCCCCAGCAGGGCUUUGCUACUGCUUCCAAGUCAAACAAGCUGAUCACUGCAAUCUACAUCAAUAAGAUUAAAUUACACUUGCUGUGUUCACGUU